AACAACCUCACAGUUCAAAGAAUCACUUUAGAGUAGACGUCCCACCUCUGAGCUCUUCUAAAGAGCCACAGAAUCUCCACCCUUGCUGAUGACUGCUAUGUCCUCGAUGCCCUAAAGUGAAGCCGUGUACUUCCGCCUCGACCGUGCAUUACGCCGGCUUUGACACAUCUUGUUCUUCGGAGUGAGCUUGGGUCGGGCUGUUUGUGGUUUUGUCUUUGGUCCAGGGAGUGGUGAUGAUCUUUACCUUGUCUCGAUGUCUUGACUUCGGUCGGUCGGUCUUGGUGGGCGUCGAGGAGGUCUGAAAGGU
rnacentral:snoRNA from 1 species